rnacentral:rRNA from 1 species
UACGGAGGGUGCAAGCGUUAUCCGGAUUUACUGGGUUUAAAGGGUGCGUAGGUGGGCAGGAAAGUCAGUGGUGAAAUCUCGGGGCUUAACUCCGAAACUGCAUUCGAUACUGCCGUGCUUGAGGACUGGAGAGGAGACUGGAAUUUACGGUGUAGCGGUGAAAUGCGUAGAUAUCGUAAGGAAGACCAGUGGCGAAGGCGGGUCUCUGGACAGUUCCUGACGCUGAGGCACGAAGGCCAGGGGAGCAAACGGG